rnacentral:rRNA from 1 species
CAGUCGCCGCGGUAAUACGUAGGUGGCAAGCGUUGUCCGGAAUUAUUGGGCGUAAAGGGCUCGCAGGCGGUUUCUUAAGUCUGAUGUGAAAGCCCCCGGCUCAACCGGGGAGGGUCAUUGGAAACUGGGAAACUUGAGUGCAGAAGAGGAGAGUGGAAUUUCACGUGUAGCGGUGAAAUGCGUAGAGAUGUGGAGGAACACCAGUGGCGAAGGCGACUCUCUGGUCUGUAACUGACGCUGAGGAGCGAAAGCGUGGGGAGCGAACAGGAUUAGAUACCCCCGUAGUCCCUGUCUCUUAUAC